AGAGCGAACGCUGGCGGUAUGCUUAACACAUGCAAGUCGCACGGGCAGGGGAAACCCUGUCAGUGGCGGACGGGUGAGUAACGCGUAGGUAUCUGUCCUCGGGUGGGGGAUAACCGUGGGAAACUACGGCUAAUACCGCAUGACACCUCAGGGUCAAAGGCGCAAGUCGCCUGGGGAGGAGCCUGCGUCCGAUUAGCUAGUUGGUAGGGUAAUGGCCUACCAAGGCUGCGAUCGGUAGCUGGUCUGAGAGGAUGAUCAGCCACACUGGGACUGAGACACGGCCCAGACUCCUACGGGAGGCAGCAGUGGGGAAUAUUGGACAAUGGGCGAAAGCCUGAUCCAGCAAUGCCGCGUGGGUGAAGAAGGUCUUCGGAUUGUAAAGCCCUUUCGGCGGGACGAUGAUGACGGUACCCGCAGAAGAAGCCCCGGCUAACUUCGUGCCAGCAGCCGC
rnacentral:rRNA from 1 species